GUUAAUUUAAAAAAUUAUUGGUUAAGGGUCUUUGAAAUGGGGUGUUGCGCCCUACUGUAUUUUUUUCAAUAUUUUUUUUAAUCUUUAUUAAUUUUCUUUUAUCUUUUUUUUUAUGUUAUAAGGAUUUAUUUAUUUUGGGCCAUUUGGGCCCAAGUUACUUUGGAUAUUUGGACCCUUACUUAAUUGUUUCUACACUCCUUUAUUUUAUUUAUUUAUCUUUUAUUAUUUUUCUUAUUUGUUCGAUUUAAUUAAUUUAUUUGGAUUAAAUGUCCAUUUGAUUAGUUGUUAGGUUUUAUUAAUUAUUUGUUUUUUU
rnacentral:lncRNA from 1 species